CGCGAAUGGNUCAUUAUAACAGCUAUCAUUUACUUGAUCUUGACACAAUCCUACUUGGAUAACUGUGGUAAUUCUAGAGCUAAUACAUGCAUUAAAGCUCUGACCGCAAGGGAAGAGUGCACUUAUUAGAACAAAACCAAGCGGCUUCGGCUGUUUUCGGUUGACUCAUAGUAACUGAGCUGAUCGCACGGUCUUGCACCGGCGACGUGUCUUUCAAGUAUCUGCCGUAUCAACUUUCGAUGGUAGUGUAUCUGACUACCAUGGUGAUCACGCGUAACGGAGAAUAAGGGUUCGGCUCCGGAGAGUUCGCCUGAGAAAUCGCGAACACAUCUAAGGAAGGCAGCAGGCGCGAAAAUUACCCACUCUCAGCACGAGGAGGUAGUGACGAAAAAUAACGAGACCGUUCUCUUAUGAGGCCGGUCAUCGGAAUGGGUACAAUUUAAACCCUUUAACGAGUAUCUAUGAGAGGGCAAGUCUGGUGCCAGCAGCCGCGGUAAUUCCAGCU
rnacentral:rRNA from 1 species